GUGUGUAUCUGGUGCCCCUCUUCUUCGUCCUUGUUCUGCCCGCGCGUUGCCAAUGCUGUGCGACUAGCCGCGCACCAGCCAGACAGGGAUCGCCCGCAGAGAUGAAAGAAGAGUUUACGGACUUGCCGAACUGUGUUGUCGCAAACCAAGACGAAGGAUGAUGGCCACCGUCCAUCUGUCCACGGCUUCAGACUGUGAAUCGGAGUGCGGCGGCAGCCAGCGACGUGACGUGCAGCGGUCGCGAGAGACUUUGGGACGCUGCCAUUUUAGAUGGGAUGCUCGAUGGCAGCAUUUGGGCGUGCGCCUCCCACCUAUAGGAGCACCGCUUGCUUUUGCCAGCCGCACCCCGUCGUCACCGGCAUUUUCCCUGCCUGCACAGACCCGGCGAUGUGAGGUUGUGGCGCCCAUAUAUACAGCAGCAUGUUCUUCGAAUGCCCUUGCUAUGCGAUGAAUACGCAGUGAAUAAGGGUGGUGAUCUCGGCGACAUCCAUGGUAGACGAACACUAACACAGUCGCUGGCAUGAGUGCCGCAGCAUAGCGCACACUGGCGACAACGGUUGAGGGCGGCAAUGCUGACCACCAUGCGUUGCACUCAACGGGAGUUUAUCAUGUAGCCCCCCUCCGCAAAUGAAACGACGCCGCAAUGGGUGGCCAAGUAUAUUCGAAGUGUGAUGCACGCAUACCAAAGGUGAGGCGGCCGCCAACAUUUUUCACGGGGGAAAACUCUGAACUUAUCGAACAGCAAAACCCUACGCUGGCUGAGGACCGUAAUGACUAUGUUUCUUCCCGAUCGAUUUGUUGCGUAUUAGGGGAGAGAGGUGGCGUGCCAGGAUGAAGGCGCACAAAAAGCUUUGGCGAGCACUAUGUAUGUGUAGCGGUUAUCUCAUGAAGGAAAUCAAGCCACACGUUGUCAUACUUUGUUUCCUGGUGCGUUCGCAGGAUCCCCAGGGAACGCCCGGUUUUCGUGCGUUGUCGUCGAAGGCGUGGCCCGCACCCCCCCCCUCCUGGACACGGCGGCGCUCAAGGCUCCCGCGGGCCAGAGCUCACCAAAAGGCCGCACAUACGUCGCUAACAUCCCCAGGAAUGUCAUUCUUUUGGCCCUCGGUAGCAUUAAUGGUGAAUACAAGCGCGUGCGCGGGCAGUCGGAAGUAUGGGGGCUAUGAGCCGAAAAUCGCGUGACUGCGGAGGUGCUCGGAUACCGUUCAUUGCCCACGUCUUGAGGUGGCUGCCGAAAGGAAGCGCUGAGGUUGCAUACAUCACUAACAUCCCGCACUUCUGUUUGAUCAAGGCAUUGCAUCUUCGAAAACGGGUACAAGUCGUCGGCUUCACGCCAGCCCUCGUUUAUGAUCCUUGGCGCUUUGCCUGUAUCUCGUCUUGGAUCACCUUAACUUGGCCUCCUCUGUGAGUCACCUGCACUUCCUUCUUUGCCUCAUCGUGAUGCUGCCUUUCCGUUUAUAAG
rnacentral:misc_RNA from 1 species